rnacentral:rRNA from 1 species
AUUGAACGCUGGCGGCAGGCCUAACACAUGCAAGUCGAGCGGAGCGGCUUACGGGUGAGUAAUGCCUAGGAAUCUGCCUGGUAGUGGGGGCGAACGUCCGGAAACGGGCGCUAAUACCGCAUACUAUCUGAUGAACCUAGGUCGGAUUGGCUAGUUGUUGGGGUAAAGGCCCACCAAGGCGACGAUCCGUAACUGGUCUGAGAGGAUGAUCAGUCAAACUGGAACUGAGACACGGUCAAGCCUCCUACGGGAGGCAGCAGUGGGGAAUAUUGGAAAAUGGGCGAAAGCCUGAUCCAGCCAUGCCGCGGGUGUGAAGAAGGUCUUCGGAGUGUAAAGCACUUUAAGUUGGGAGGCGUUACCAACAGAAUAAGCACCGGCUAACUUCGUGCCAGCAGCCGCGGUAAUAC